UUGAUAUGGCCGCCCCUCGACUUUUCUUCUCUCAAUAAUCAUUAUUCACUUUUAAUUAAAACGUUGGAAAGGGAAACAAAUUAAAUGAAAAAAAAGCAAGAUCCCAUUUCUCUCUCUAAAACCAAAAGUCACCCUUCCUUCCAUCUCUAUAUCUCACGAUGUUGAAACAAGUUCAAGUCCUCACAAAAACAAAUACAAUCAAAAGAAAUAGAACAAACCCCUUUUAAAUUGCUCCAACACAAAUUGAAACAAAAUCACCCCUUUAGAUCCAAUUUCAACAAAAAAAACUAUCCCCUCUAACCAAAAUCAUAUGAACGGAAACGAAACUUCAACCUACAUUCAUGGCAGAAAUCAAAGAUUGAUUCACCGGCACACCAUCAUAUGUUCGAAAAUCAUAAAGGAACACACAUUCAGUUUGAGAAAAAAAAAACUUCGUGCCGGUUUCAGAAGAUGAUUCAUCAAAACUAUUACUUUCGAAAAUCAACACUCAAUAAGUCAAACACCCACUUCACAAGCAUCACAAUAAAAAUGAAAGGAAAUAGAGAUUCAGAGAUGGAUACCAAACAAAAAUUUCGCUUCGAAGCUGAUUCCGGCAAAGAGACAAAAGCAAAGAGACAAAGAGUUUCUCUGCUCAGAGACAAAGAGCUUCUCUACUCAAAGACAAAGACAUAUGUGGCAGGCUGAAAUUGUGAACUAAUGUAAAGAACUCUCUUGGUUUUGUUACUGCUAAUGUCAAGUUGUAAAUGAAUUGAAAGUAUAAAAACUUUUGGUUUUGUAGUAACUUGUUUGUAAUGUUACUUGAAAAUAUAUAAAUAUGUUUGCUGAUUCUUUUUUAAA